UGCAAGUCGAGCGAACAGAUAAGGAGCUUGCUCCUUUGACGUUAGCGGCGGACGGGUGAGUAACACGUGGAUAACCUACCUAUAAGACUGGGAUAACUUCGGGAAACCGGAGCUAAUACCGGAUAACAUAUUGAACCGCAUGGUUCAAUAGUGAAAGGCGGCUUUGCUGUCACUUAUAGAUGGAUCCGCGCCGUAUUAGCUAGUUGGUAAGGUAACGGCUUACCAAGGCAACGAUACGUAGCCGACCUGAGAGGGUGAUCGGCCACACUGGAACUGAGACACGGUCCAGACUCCUACGGGAGGCAGCAGUAGGGAAUCUUCCGCAAUGGGCGAAAGCCUGACGGAGCAACGCCGCGUGAGUGAUGAAGGUCUUCGGAUCGUAAAACUCUGUUAUCAGGGAAGAACAAAUGUGUAAGUAACUGUGCACAUCUUGACGGUACCUGAUCAGAAAGCCACGGCUAACUACGUGCCAGCAGCCGCGGUAAUACGUAGGUGGCAAGCGUUAUCCGGAAUUAUUGGGCGUAAAGCGCGCGUAGGCGGUUUUUUAAGUCUGAUGUGAAAGCCCACGGCUCAACCGUGGAGGGUCAUUGGAAACUGGAAAACUUGAGUGCAGAAGAGGAAAGUGGAAUUCCAUGUGUAGCGGUGAAAUGCGCAGAGAUAUGGAGGAACACCAGUGGCGAAGGCGACUUUUCUGGUCUGUAACUGACGCUGAUGUGCGAAAGCGUGGGGAUCAAACAGGAUUAGAUACCCUGGUAGUCCACGCCGUAAACGAUGAGUGCUUAGUGUUAGGGGGGUUUCCGCCCCCUUAGUGCUGCAGCUAACGCAUUAAGCACUCCCGCCUGGGGG
rnacentral:rRNA from 1 species